GCGCCAUGCGACGGGAAGGAGGGUCACCCUCCGCGACCGCGGUGGUGCUCGAUCCGCAGAAUUUGUAUUCAGCUGCGCAGAUUGGCUGAUUUCUUGUGUUUCUUGACCCAACUUCCACCUAACCUUCAUUUAAUACACACUAACUCAAACCUUAAUCCCUCCACUAUAUAACCAACCUCUCCUACACUCAUUUUCCACUUUACAAAUCACUAAUCAUUCUCUAAUCACUCUAAUUUCCAGAAUUUGGACAGAAAGUUCAAGCAAUUCUAAAUUAUAACCAGGAAAAUCACAGGAAAAAUACCUAAAGUAGCAAUGUAACAAAAUGUGAAAGCCAAUUAGAAGUCAGCUAGA